CCUCCCCAAGAUCAUAGAGGGCAUGGCUUUUGGGGUGAUGCUCAUCUGUCCACCCUUGCUAUGGGGGCCAGACAGGGAGUGGAGGAGGUUGUGCCCCACUGCCAGCAUGGGCUGGCCAGAUGUGGGUGCAGGCUCCAUGGAGGAGAGAGCUCCCACCACGCUGGGCACAGGUGAUGUGUCCAGAGAGUGACUGUUUGUUCUGGUUUUCAUUUUCUGUUCAUCUCCAUCACAGGGUCUGCUGAUUGUGUGAUGGGAAGGGCAGGAGAAGAACCAACACAGUCCCCACAGCUACCACAGUGCUGGCAAGAGUGAUCAGGGAUCUCAUAAAAGAUGUGGUCCAAAGGCUUUUGAGGAACCCUGGGUCUGUCCAGAGUCCCAACUGGGGCAUUUAGCUUUCACUUGCAUGGUCCACAGCCCCCACCAAAGCCUGGGCUCCCCAUCACAACCCUUCCGUGAGGAAAUCAGCCAAGCCCAGAAGGCUCAUUUAGGUCUUUUUUCCUUUAUAGACUCCAUUUUGCUUGAAUUUACUAGAUAUAGACCAAAGCCAAAAACUCCACUGGCUGCUUCCCAGCCUGGCCCUGCAGCCCAGGAUGCAUCUACACUGGCUGGACAGCCCUCCCCCUUCCUGCCCCCAAGACCUCCCAGGCUCACACCAGCCCCCACACAGCUGCUUGGCGUGAGGAGGAUCCGGAAGGCAGUAACAAGAUUGCCUCCUACAAAUACUAUUAAAGCUGCCUCUCUCCGAUGCUACUCGUUGAUGAAAGCUGAAGAAACAGGAUCCUGUAGGUAUUUUCAGUCAUCUGGAAAGAAAGAUAAAUUGCCUUUCUCCAGCUUCUUUUCACUGGUGAUGGUCCUCGGAGAGACAGAAAUCCCCCCUUUGCCGUCCCCCGGACAUGGUCUGGGUAACAGCAGGCGCAAGGUCUGUGGUGCCGUGCCGUGACUCUCCCCGUAACUCUGCCCGAAGCGUCCGCAGAGGAAAAUGUAUAUUCAAAACCCGCAAAGUUCAGCUGCUCCCGGUGCACAGCAGAGCCAGCAGCACGCAGCUCCCGGCCACACCAGCCUGGCUUUCAGCAACUUCUUUUGCCGGCAUCUCCUGAUCGAUUCCUUUAAAAACAAAAUGAUAAUAACAGACGACGACCAUGACAGCAGUGAGCCCAGCGCCUGGUCUCCGAAGGGCAGCUGAGACGAGGAGUGGCCACUCUUGGGUUUUGCCUUAAGGACUUUUGCGAGAGAACAGAUCUGCUUGCCUGAUGCUCCAGCUUGUUUUAUUCAGCGCUCGGCUCCCUACGGACCUCCCUGCAGACGGCAACCGACCCAGUGCCGCUGCCUGCCAUCUGCGGGGUGUGUGCAUGCGUGUGUGUGUGUGUGUACACUCCUCCCUGUCCUCUUGACCUCCUGUCCCUUCACCCUAUAGCCUCACUCGUUCUUCCCAGCCGCCCUGGCUACCAGCAGCGAGGGGGAUUAGCCGCCGAGAGGUUGGCUCCACAACUCCCAGGCGUGCGGUGAAGCCGGCGAUGCGUGACAGCAGCGUAGGCUCAGUCUCUGCCGCUGCUCCCGGGGAGUUAAUCCUUUCGAUGCCAAAAGACGUGCCUCGGUCCGGCUGCUGGAUCUUCCCGGAGAGGUGGAGGGGAAGGUGGGGAGCAGCCAGAGGGUGCGAAUGGGUCCGCGUGGGUACACGCAUGUGCAUGGGGGCACAGCCGGCGUGUCCCGGCGGCAGCCUGGGCUCAGGCAGCGAUGGGGACGGGUGUGGUGACCCCUCGGGGGUGACCCUCAGCUCCAGCCCAUCCGCGAGCGCUGAGCAGAGCCUUUGUCUGGGAGCUGUGCUGCCGGCAGAGAGAAAUCACAUCGCAGGCGCUGCCGGGAGGAGGGCGGACAUCAUCAAUCCCACUGCCAGCAUCCUGGGGGAAUGAUGCUCCCCACAGCCCUGUUCACCCCUGAGC
rnacentral:lncRNA from 1 species